rnacentral:rRNA from 1 species
UGCGUAGGUGGGUUGGUAAGUCAGUGGUGAAAUCUCCGAGCUUAACUUGGAAACUGCCAUUGAUACUAUCAGUCUUGAAUAUUGUGGAGGUCAGCGGAAUAUGUCAUGUAGCGGUGAAAUGCUUAGAUAUGACAUAGAACACCAAUUGCGAAGGCAGCUGACUACGCAUAUAUUGACACUGAGGCACGAAAGCGUGGGGAUCAAACAGGAUUAGAUACCCUGGUAGUCC